rnacentral:tRNA from 1 species
UUUCAAAUAGUUUAAGCAAAGAAUAAAAUUUUGAAGAGAUUUAGGUAGUGAGAACUUUUG